UACAGAGGUGGCAAGCGUUGUUCGGAAUUACUGGGCGUAAAGGGCGCGUAGGCGGCCCACUAAGUCAGACGUGAAAUCCCCCGGCUUAACCUGGGAACUGCGUCUGAUACUGGAGGGCUUGAGUAUGGGAGAGGGAUGUAGAAUUCCAGGUGUAGCGGUGAAAUGCGCAGAUAUCGGGAAGAACACCCGUGGCGAAGGCGGUUCUCUGGGACGGUACUGACGCUGAGACGCGAAAGCGUGGGGAGCGAACAGG
rnacentral:rRNA from 1 species